ACACACAUUUUUCUCCCUGGUAUAACUUAAAGGUCACAGGCAAACAAAAAAUCAAACAUAAUUAAAACACAAUUAUCACUUAUUCAUGACAUAUAAUAUACAUUGCUGGUUAUGAAAAAACA